CUCCCUUUCUGCACGCCACAAUCCGGAAACACCCUACUUGAAAUCAGAACCGGGAAAACGUUUAAUGCGGAAAACAUGUUAGAAUGAAUGUUUAACUGAAGCAGGAACACCGCGUGUGCACCCACGACGAACCGCAUCAGGUUAAACUGCAACAAAAAACGCAGACAUUGCUGUCCUUCCUUUGUCAGCUUCUGACGGCUCUGAUAUCAUCAUCUCUGCUGGAGGGCAUCCGUGGAAACUCUGAGCUGCAGGAUUUCCCUGGAGGAUGGAGCUGAGCAGGGAGCUCCAGCACACCUGUUCUGCACCAAGCCUCAUCAAUGGCAGGAUAAGG